rnacentral:rRNA from 1 species
GAUGAACGCUGGCGGCGUGCCUAAUACAUGCAAGUCGAGCGAACAGAUGAGGAGCUUGCUCCUCUGACGUUAGCGGCGGACGGGCGAGUAACACGUGGAUAACCUACCCAUAAGACUGGGAUAACUUCGGGAAACCGGAGCUAAUACCGGAUAAUAUAUUGAACCGCAUGGUUCAAUAGUGAAAGACGGUUUUGCUGUCACUUAUAGAUGGAUCCGCGCCGCAUUAGCUAGUUGGUAAGGUAACGGCUUACCAAGGCAACGAUGCGUAGCCGACCUGAGAGGGUGAUCGGCCACACUGGAACUGAGACACGGUCCAGACUCCUACGGGAGGCAGCAAUAGGGAAUCUUCCGCAAUGGGCGAAAGCCUGACGGAGCAACGCCGCGUGAGUGAUGAAGGUCUUCGGAUCGUAAAACUCUGUUAUUAGGGAAGAACAAAUGUGUAAGUAACUAUGCACGUCUUGACGGUACCUAAUCAGAAAGCCACGGCUAACUACGUG